UACGAAGGGUGCAAGCGUUACUCGGAAUUACUGGGCGUAAAGCGUGCGUAGGUGGUUCGUUAAGUCUGAUGUGAAAGCCCUGGGCUCAACCUGGGAAUGGCAUUGGAAACUGGCGAUCUAGAGUGCGGUAGAGGGUAGUGGAAUUCCCGGUGUAGCAGUGAAAUGCGUAGAGAUCGGGAGGAACAUCUGUGGCGAAGGCGACUGCCUGGACCAGCACUGACACUGAGCACGAAAGCGUGGGGAGCAAACAGG
rnacentral:rRNA from 1 species